GGCAUGUAAAAUGUAGCAGUAUAUUUUAAAUAAUUUACUGCAGUUUUCUUUGGAUUUGUUUUUGUUGUUAGAGUUAUCUAACAAUUCUUUUUUAAUGUUCUUUUUGCAAUAACAAUUGGUUGUGAAAAAAAUAUGCAGAUCAGUGUCUUAUGAGGAGGAGGAAAGUGUCUUUGCAAACAAAGGUUUCAAUAACUACUUUGGCUUUUGCAAAAUUUUUUGUGGAAAUUUUGCAAAUUAUCUCUGCGAACGCUCUAUGUUGUGAAGUCUUGUAAGCUGGUUGUCAUGUCCAUACAUGCGAUCAGGUGUCGCAUGCUGCUGUGCAAAUCAGGCAAAAUCAGGCAAAGUGUUAGGAAGAAAUAUGCUGAAGUCGAAGUUGCUGAAGACGAAAUUGUUGAUGACGAAGUUGCUGAAGUCGAAGUUGCUGAAGUAGAAGUUGUUGUAGUAGACGUUGCUGUAGUAGUUGUUGUUGAAGAAUCUUGAUCGCUAAGGAAAGCAAUUGUUGAUGAUAUCUGACGUCGCCUGAAGUUGUAGCUGUCGUUGUUGUUAAAGUAGUCGCCUAUUGCUGAUGUAGACUAAUGUUGGUGAUGAUUGUUGAUGUCGCCAGAUAUCUGAAGCCAGAAAUGAAGGCGAAUUGAUCACUUGAAAUCAUUCUCAAAGUCGAUGCCUGAAGUCGCAGUUGAAGACCGUUGAGGAAGAGCCAAAGUUGAUGAAGAAAGGUGAAAUCUUGUGCGCCGUGAUGAGAUGAACAAAUGGGCAGUCUGGAAAUUCUCGAAUUUUUGGAAAUUUGCCCGAUUUUGACGACCCUAGUGCAAAACAGGGGAGUUGAGCGAAUUGGUGAAAAAGAAAGGUGGCGCCGUGGAAUUCGCCCAGCAGAAUGAAGAAUUGUGGGUAGCAGAGGAGGGAGAAGACAUUGCUGAAGCGAAUUGAAAAAGAAAACCUGUAAUUGCACAGAAAAACAGAGGAUUGUCUGAAAUUUCCUUAAGGGCCAAUCAUUGAAACGAAAAUUGAAGAAAUUCAAGGGAAUUGAGGAGAGAAAUCCAUGAGCGCUGUGAAGAGGGGAACGGGGAACACCGUGGUCGCCAAAAUGGAAUGGGUGAUUUCCACUCCAAGGGAAGAAAUUGCAGGGAGAGAAAAAGAAUGAAUUGCUCAGGAAAGACUUAUGCAGGAGGAAGAUUACAGAUGCAGAAGGAUGCGAAUGCUCUAGGGUAGUCUCUGUCUCUACCCUAACUACCUAUAUCAGCGGUUAUAACUCCCGCUUACAUAAUGCGCCUGAAGUUAGGCGUGCCUAAUGUUAGGCGUGCCUGAGGUUAGGCAUGCCUGAUGCUAGGGGUGCCUAAUGCUACCUUCAGUAAGGCAUCAGGCGGAAGUCUGCCUGAUACCUGCUUGCCUGAGCUCCUAAAAAUGCUAUUUUCAGUAAC
rnacentral:lncRNA from 1 species